AGCAGAGAGGAAGGAAAUGAAGCUUCCUGCUGGCUGAAGCUGCUCACCCAAAAGAAAGGGAAUUAGAUAAAGUGAAAGGUAUUUCUCAGAGAUGGGCCCAAAGCUGCUUCUGUUUCCUUGUGGCCUCAGGCUGGCUCUAGCUAGUAGGACACCAUGACCCAGAGUAACUAAAGGGAAUUAUUGGCAUCCUCCCACGAGCUCCUACCAGGCCAGUGCCAGAAACACUCAUCUACUCCCUUAUGGAAGAUCACUGAGUCAUGAGAUCUGUGGUUUGUCUGAUUCUCCACUUCCCGAAGCCAGCCAAGGCUAACCGACCUGGGAUUCUGAGAGACUGUCCAGAGGUUGGAGGUCUGGAGGAAGAGGACUCCCUCUUUUACUUCAUUCAGUUGUCCCCCACAUCCUCAGCAGUAGAAGUGUUUCUUGCCAUUUUAGCUUUCAGAGGCCAGUCUCAUUUUGUCCAGCAAUGACAGCAACAGCAAAACCUUCCUUUGGCCCUCAUUCACAAUACAGUGUUCUGGGAGGAGGCGGCUGACCAGCUGACUGCAGUGAUGAAGAAAGGAGUGUCCCACAGGACUCUGAUUCAGCAGGGACCUCCAGAGCUUCUGACUCAUGGGGGUGUGCUCCCAAGGGACAUAGGUGUGUCUUCAAGUGCCAAGAAUGAAUGGGAACUGGCUUCUGCACUUGGCCCUGUGAGAACAGCCUAAGCCAAGGGAGGGGAGAUUCUAAAAGAAAUGACUGUAAUUAAAGGUAGAAAAAAGUGGAUGAGUCAAAAAAAUGUAUAAAUAGUGUUUAAUAUUCAACUUAGUACUUAAUUAAAUAUUGUCUUCUAUUAUUUAUAUUCACUACAAGUA
rnacentral:lncRNA from 1 species